rnacentral:rRNA from 1 species
GGCGAGUGAGCGGCAAGAGCUCAAAUUUGAAAGCUGGCUCCUUCGGGGUCCGCAUUGUAAUUUGCAGAGGAUGCUUCGGGAGCGGUCCCCAUCUAAGUGCCCUGGAACGGGACGUCAUAGAGGGUGAGAAUCCCGUAUGGGAUGGGGUGUCCGCGCCCGUGUGAAGCUCCUUCGACGAGUCGAGUUGUUUGGGAAUGCAGCUCUAAAUGGGUGGUAAAUUUCAUCUAAAGCUAAAUAUUGGCCGGAGACCGAUAGCGCACAAGUAGAGUGAUCGAAAGAUGAAAAGCACUUUGAAAAGAGAGUUAAAAAGCACGUGAAAUUGUUGAAAGGGAAGCGCUUGCGACCAGACUCGCUCGCGGGGUUCAGCCGGCAUUCGUGCCGGUGUAUUUCCCCGCGGGCGGGCCAGCGUCGGUUUGGGCGGUCGGUCAAAGGCCCUCGGAAGGUAACGCCCCUAGGGGCGUCUUAUAGCCGAGGGUGCAAUGCGACCUGCCUAGACCGAGGAACGCGCUUCGGCUCGGACGCUGGCAUAAUGGUCGUAAGCGACCCGUCUUGA